rnacentral:rRNA from 1 species
UACGUAGGUGGCAAGCGUUGUCCGGAAUCACUGGGCGUAAAGCGCGCGCAGGCGGCGAUCUACGUCUGGGGUGAAAGCCCGGAGCUCAACUCCGGGACUGCCUUGGAUACGGGAUCGCUUGAGGAUUGGAGAGGCAAGGGGAAUUCCACGUGUAGCGGUGAAAUGCGUAGAGAUUAGGAAGAACACCAGUGGCGAAGGCGACUUACUGGACUGUAACUGACGCUGAGGCAUGAAAGCGUGGGGAGCAAACAGG